UGGUCGUGGUUGUAGUCCGUGCGAGAA
rnacentral:piRNA from 1 species